rnacentral:rRNA from 1 species
UACAGAGGGUGCAAGCGUUGUUCGGAAUUAUUGGGCGUAAAGCGCGUGUAGGCGGCUUUGCAAGUCGGGUGUGAAAUCCCACGGCUCAACCGUGGAAGUGCAUUCGAAACUACAGGGCUAGAGUUCUGGAGAGGAAGGUGGAAUGCUUGGUGUAGAGGUGAAAUUCGUAGAUAUCAAGCGGAACACCGGUGGCGAAGGCGGCCUUCUGGACAGUAACUGACGCUGAGACGCGAAAGCGUGGGGAGCAAACAGG